rnacentral:tRNA from 1 species
GCACCCUUAGCUCAGUUGGUUAGAGCAUUCGAUUCACAUUCGAAAGGCCUCAGGUUCGAAUCCUGAAGGGUGCA